CGGGGGGGCUAGGGCGGCGUGAGGAAGGCGAUUCCUCCUCCCGGGCCCCCCAGAUUCGCUCCACACGGAGCCUCCUCCCUUUGCGCGGCGCCGUCACCCGCCGGCCGCUGGCGCUACCAGACUCUUCCCCAUCCUCGCGGCCCGAACGCCUAGUGCAGCCCGGCCCCCCGAGUCCUCCGAGCCGGCCGCCUCCCGCCUCUUGCACUCGCGGGCCUCGGGGGGCGGGGGAUUAGCUCUGGCGCCCUAAUUCCCCUCCCCCCCGCACCCCUCGGCUUUCAGUUCUUUACACAACCCUUGGCUGGCCUCCCUCCGCCGGGAGAAAAAGCAUCCCAGCUCCGACCGACCGGAGCUCGCUUUUCUUUCUGCCUCCUUGUUCGCGGGGCGAGGGGGGUCCCCGAUUGUGGGCCGGGGGGCCGUUUGUCGGAGCUGUGGAGGCCGUGGGGGCGGUCGGCGGGGGCGAGGGAGGCGGCGCGGGCUCUGGUGCGGCGCGGGGCCGGGGCAUUGUUCUGGAACUUCCUCUUCGGUCCCGGUCGGUCUGUGCUCCGGUCGCUCAUUGUUUCUGGGCACUAACUCUUCGAUGUGUGUGCGCACCGCACAGGCGUGGAGAUGGGGGCGAAGGCCUGGGGGGGUUCAGACAGCCCCUCCCAGGCUGUCCGCCUCCGAGAACUUCUCGGACCAGAGAGGUGUGUGGCCAGGAGAUGGAGAAAUGGGCGAGGAAAUGAGGAAACGGCCGAAAGGCGUCUGGAGGGAGGAGGCCGUCGCCGCGCGGGGAAGGGACUCCUAUGGGAAGGGAGUCUUGUCACUUGUAAUUUACAAGCCGCGAAGUCCUGUAAAUGAGUUGCGGUCGCAUUGACCCGGAGGUCUGUCCAGGGGCUGAGAGAGAGAGACGGCUACAACCGGAGGAGAAGUCGUUACCUGGCCUUUUCUGGCAGAGCGUCAGGCUGACCUGGGAUCACUCACGGCUCAGUGUACCUCGCGCGGGGUGUUUUUCUUCAUUUCCAUUUGAAGGAUGAAAUUGUAAGACGAGAUGAAGAGAAAGGGAAAGAGAGAUAGAAACAUCAAUGAUGAGAGAGAAUCACUGAUGAGCUGCCUCCCGCACCCCUGACCGAAAUUGAACUUGGGACCCUUCAGUCCACAGGCUGAUGCUCUAUCCACUGAGCCAAACCGGCCAGGGCUCUAAACGUUUUUGAGAAGAUAAAAAGAAUAAGGGGGGAGGGGGGAGAAGCCCUCCUUGUACAGUGUUCAUGAUUAAAGUGUUUGUAAACCAAAA